rnacentral:rRNA from 1 species
GGAUUGCUUGCAAUCUGAUGACGAGUGGCGCACGGGUGCGUAACGCGUAUGCAAUCUACCUUUUACAGGAGAAUAGCCCAGAGAAAUUUGGAAUAAUGCUCCAUAAUAUCAUUUAUCAGCAUUGGUUUAUGAUUAAAGCUCCGGCGGUAAAAGAUGAGCAUGCGUUCUAUUAGCUAGUAGGUGAGGUAACGGCUCACCUAGGCUACGAUAGAUAGGGGCCCUGAGAGGGGGAUCCCCCACACUGGUACUGAGACACGGACCAGACUCCUACGGGAGGCAGCAGUGAGGAAUAUUGGACAAUGGAGGAAACUCUGAUCCAGCCAUGCCGCGUGCAGGACGACUGCCCUAUGGGUUGUAAACUGCUUUUGUAUAGGAAGAAACACUCCCACGUGUGGGGGCUUGACGGUACUAUAUGAAUAAGGAUCGGCUAACUCCGUGCCAGCAGCCGCGGUAAUACGGAGGAUCCAAGCGUUAUCCGGAAUCAUUGGGUUUAAAGGGUCCGCAGGCGGCCUGUUAAGUCAGAGGUGAAAUCCUACAGCUCAACUAUAGAACUGCCUUUGAUACUGAUAGGCUUGAGUUAUUGUGAAGUGGUUAGAAUGUGUGGUGUAGCGGUGAAAUGCUUAGAUAUCACACAGAAUACCCAUUGCGAAGGCAGAUCACUAACAAUAUACUGACGCUCAUGGACGAAAGCGUGGGGAGCGAACGGGAUUAGAUACCCCGGUAGUCCACGCCGUAAACGAUGGAUACUAACUGUUCGACCUUCGGGUUGAGUGGUCAAGCGAAAGUGAUAAGUAUCCCACCUGGG